rnacentral:tRNA from 1 species
UGGAUCACCUCCUAACAGGGAGACAACAAAAUGUAAAUAUUAAUUUUGUCACCUUAGGUCGAUCGGUAUCUCAGAUUCUUAUUAUUUAAGAAUUUCAGUUUCUAAGUUUUUUCUAGGUCACACCCAUCACUUUUUCCUGGGCCAUUAGCUCAGGUGGUUAGAGCGCACCCCUGAUAAGGGUGAGGUCCCUGGUUCAAGUCCAGGAUGGCCCAUAUCUCUAUGUUGGGGGUAUAGCUCAGUUGGUAGAGCGCCUGCUUUGCAAGCAGGAUGUCAGCGGUUCGAGUCCGCUUACCUCCACUGAAUACCACCUCUUACAUAUAGUUGAAGUGGGAAAUUGUUUUGAGUCGUGUCCUAAUUUGCUCUGAGCGAAUCUAGCUUCCUAUUUUAUCCAAGAAAUAAGAUGCUGGACUCAUUGAAUUUUUUUUCAUUGUUUUCAGAGAACCUUGACAACUGCAUAGAUUAUUUUUAAAGACAAUAAGCAUCUUUAAUGAUGCAGAUUUAUUAUUUGUGCGAAUGCAUUAAUAACAAUUCUAUUAAGCUGAUGCUUCAACUUUGAAGUUAUUGGUCAAGCUACAAAGGGCUCACGGAGGAUACCUAGGCACACAGAGGCGAUGAAGG